GUAGGGAAUAUUGGACAAUGGGGGCAACCCUGAUCCAGCGACGCCGCGUGAGUGAUGAAGGCCUUCGGGUCGUAAAGCUCUGUUGCAGGGGAAGAACACAAUGACGGUACCCUGCUAGAAAGGAUCGGCUAACUUCGUGCCAGCAGCCGCGGUAAGACGAGGGAUCCUAGCGUUGUUCGGCAUUAUUGGGCGUAAAGCGGGUGCAGGUGGCUUGGUAAGUCAGAUGUGAAAGCCUGGGGCUUAACCCCAGAAGUGCUUUUGAUACUGCUGAGCUUGAGUGCUGGAGAGGCUAUUAGAAUUCCUGGUGUAGUGGUGAAAUACGUAGAUAUCAGGAGGAAUACCGGACGCGCAGGCGGAUAGAUGGCCAGACACUGACACUCAGACCCGAAAGCGUGGGGAUCAAACAGGAUUAGAAACCCUAGUAGUCC
rnacentral:rRNA from 1 species